GCCGAACGCUGGCGGCGUGCCUAAUACAUGCAAGUCGAACGCAGUGGGGACGGGUGAGUAACACGUGGGUAACCUCCCAUCAGAGGGGAUAACCCUUGGAAACAGGUGCUAAACCGAUACUGCUGGAUGGAACCGCGGUGCAUUAGCUAGUUGGUUAGGUAACGGCUCACCAAGUCCACGAUGCAUAGCCGAACUGAUGUGGUGAGUGGCCAAAGGGGGACGGAGACGCGGCCAAGACUCCUACGGGAGCCAGCAGUGGUGAAUCUGCGGCAAUUGACGAAAGUCUGACCGAGCAACGCCGCGUGAGUGAAGAAGGUUUUCGGAUCGUAAAACUCUGUUGUUAGAGAAGCGGUAUCUAACCAGAAAGCCACGGCUAACUACGUGCCAGCAGCCGCGGUAAUUC
rnacentral:rRNA from 1 species